AUGCUCACUUCGGCAGCACAUAUACUAAAGUUGAAAUGAUACAGAGAAGAUUAGCAUGACCUCUGUGUAAGGAUGACAUGCCAAUUCGUGCAGUAUUCAUAUUUUUA